rnacentral:rRNA from 1 species
UUGCCAGUAGUCAUAUGCUUGUCUUAAAGAUUAAGCCAUGCAUGUCUAAGUAUAAGCAAUUAUACAGCGAAACUGCGAAUGGCUCAUUAAAUCAGUUAUCGUUUAUUUGAUAGUACCUUACUACAUGGAUAACCGUGGUAAUUCUAGAGCUAAUACAUGCUGAAAACCCCGACUUCGGAAGGGGUGUAUUUAUUAGAUUAAAAACCAAUGCCCUUCGGGGCUCACUGGUGAUUCAUGAUAACUUCUCGAAUCGCACGGCCUUGCGCCGGCGAUGGUUCAUUCAAAUUUCUGCCCUAUCAACUUUCGACGGCUGGGUCUUGGCCAGCCGUGGUGACAACGGGUAACGGAGGGUUAGGGCUCGACCCCGGAGAAAACGCCUGAGAAACGGCGUUUACAUCCAAGGAAGGCAGCAGGCGCGCAAAUUACCCAAUGCCGACACGGCGAGGUAGUGACGAGAAAUACUGAUACAGGGCUCUUUUGGGUCUUGUAAUUGGAAUGAGUACAAUUUAAAUCUCUUAACGAGGAACAAUUGGAGGGCAAGUCUGGUGCCAGCAGCCGCGGUAAUUCCAGCUCCAAUAGCGUAUAUNAAAGUUGUUGCAGUUAAAAAG